UGGGGAAUCUUGCGCAAUGGGCGAAAGCCUGACGCAGCAACGCCGCGUGUGUGAUGAAGGUCUUCGGAUCGUAAAGCACUGUCGCGAGGGACGAAUAAGGGACGGGCGAACAGUCCGUUUCGAUGACGGUACCUCGAGAGGAAGCACCGGCUAACUCUGUGCCAGCAGCCGCGGUAAUACAGAGGGUGCGAGCGUUGUUCGGAAUUAUUGGGCGUAAAGCGCGUGUAGGCGGCCUAGCAAGUCGGAUGUGAAAGCCCUCGGCUUAACCGAGGAAGUGCGUUCGAAACUACUGGGCUUGAGUACCGGAGAGGGUGGCGGAAUUCCCGGUGUAGAGGUGAAAUUCGUAGAUAUCGGGAGGAACACCAGUGGCGAAGGCGGCCACCUGGACGGAUACUGACGCUGAGACGCGAAAGCGUGGGUAGCAAACA
rnacentral:rRNA from 1 species